rnacentral:rRNA from 1 species
UGCCAGCCGCCGCGGUAAUACGAAGGGAGCUAGCGUAGUUCGGAAUUACUGGGCUUAAAGAGUUCGUAGGUGGUUGAAAAAGUCGGUGGUGAAAUCCCAGAGCUUAACUCUGGAACUGCCUUCAAAACUACAUUUCUUGAGUUUGGUAGAGGAGAGUGGAAUUCCUAGUGUAGAGGUGAAAUUCGUAGAUAUUACACAGAAUACCAAUUGCGAAGGCAGAUUACUAACAAUUAACUGACGCUGAGGGACGAAAGCGUGGGUAGCGAACAGGAUUAGAUA